AGCCCAGAGCCUGAAUCAGUGUGUGUGUUAGUGGAAGCGUCUGGAAAGGCGCGCGAUACAGGGUGACAGCCCCGUACACAAAAAUGCACAUGCUGUGAGCUCGAUGAGUAGGGCGGGACACGUGGUAUCCUGUCUGAAUAUGGGGGGACCAUCCUCCAAGGCUAAAUACUCCUGACUGACCGAUAGUGAACCAGUACCGUGAGGGAAAGGCGAAAAGAACCCCGGCGAGGGGAGUGAAAAAGAACCUGAAACCGUGUACGUACAAGCAGUGGGAGCACAGAGCAAUCUGUGUGACUGCGUACCUUUUGUAUAAUGGGUCAGCGACUUAUAUUCUGUAGCAAGGUUAACCGAAUAGGGGAGCCGAAGGGAAACCGAGUCUUAACUGGGCGUUAAGUUGCAGGGUAUAGACCCGAAACCCGGUGAUCUAGCCAUGGGCAGGUUGAAGGUUGGGUAACACUAACUGGAGGACCGAACCGACUAAUGUUGAAAAAUUAGCGGAUGACUUGUGGCUGGGGGUGAAAGGCCAAUCAAACCGGGAGAUAGCUGGUUCUCCCCGAAAGCUAUUUAGGUAGCGCCUCGUGAAUUCAUCUCCGGGGGUAGAGCACUGUUUCGGCAAGGGGGUCAUCCCGACUUACCAACCCGAUGCAAACUGCGAAUACCGGAGAAUGUUAUCACGGGAGACACACGGCGGGUGCUAACGUCCGUCGUGAAGAGGGAAACAACCCAGACCGCCAGCUAAGGUCCCAAAGUCAUGGUUAAGUGGGAAACGAUGUGGGAAGGCCCAGACAGCCAGGAUGUUGGCUUAGAAGCAGCCAUCAUUUAAAGAAAGCGUAAUAGCUCACUGGUCGAGUCGGCCUGCGCGGAAGAUGUAACGGGGCUAAACC
rnacentral:rRNA from 1 species